GCUAAGGUGGCAGAGCCCGGCAAUUGCACAAGAUUUAAGCCCUUGGUCCCAGAGGUUCAAUUCCUCUUCUUAGCA
rnacentral:tRNA from 1 species